rnacentral:rRNA from 1 species
UACGUAGGGGCGAGCGUUGUCCGGAAUGAUUGGGCGUAAAGGGUGCGUAGGCGGUCUUUCAAGUCAGGAGUGAAAGGCUACGGCUCAACCGUAGUAAGCUCUUGAAACCGUAAGACUUGAGUGCAGGAGAGGAGAGUGGAAUUCCUAGUGUAGCGGUGAAAUGCGUAGAUAUUAGGAGGAACACCAGUUGCGAAGGCGACUCUCUGGACUGUAACUGACGCUGAGGCACGAAAGCGUGGGGAGCAAGCAGGAUUAGAUACCCGCGUAGU